rnacentral:rRNA from 1 species
AGUGGCGAACGGGUGAGUAAUAUAUCGGAACGUAUCCAAUAAUGGGGGAUAACUAGUCGAAAGAUUAGCUAAUACCGCAUACGCCCUGAGGGGGAAAGCUGGGGAUCUUCGGACCUAGCGUUAAUGGAGCGGCCGAUAUCUGAUUAGCUAGUAGGUGAGGUAAAGGCUCACCUAGGCGACGAUCAGUAGCUGGUCUGAGAGGACGACCAGCCACACUGGAACUGAGACACGGUCCAGACUCCUACGGGAGGCAGCAGUGGGGAAUUUUGGACAAUGGGGGCAACCCUGAUCCAGCCAUUCCGCGUGAGUGAAGAAGGCCUUCGGGUUGUAAAGCUCUUUCGCAAGGGAAGAAAACUUAGUCUCUAACAUAGACUGAGGUUGACGGUACCUUGAUAAGAAGCACCGGCUAACUACGUGCCAGCAGCCGCGGUAAUACGUAGGGUGCGAGCGUUAAUCGGAAUUACUGGGCGUAAAGCGUGCGCAGGCGGCCUGAUAAGUCAGAUGUGAAAUCCCUGAGCUCAACUUGGGAACUGCGUUUGAAACUAUCAAGCUAGAAUAUGUCAGAGGGGGGUAGAAUUCCACGUGUAGCAGUGAAAUGCGUAGAGAUGUGGAGGAAUACCAAUGGCGAAGGCAGCCCCCUGGGAUAAUAUUGACACUCAUGCACGAAAGCGUGGGGAGCAAACAGGAUUAGAUACCCUGG